rnacentral:misc_RNA from 1 species
GUGAAUCAUCAAAUUUUUGAACGCAAAUUGCACUCUCUGGUAUUCCGGAGAGUAUGCCUGUUUGAGGGUCAGUUUAAAUAAAAAUCGGUGUGGUUGCUGCCUUUCGUGGUGACGCACCGGAUUUGGGUCGUCUUUCCUUCGGUUAGGGAACCCAAAGUUUGGCAUGAUUGUUUUCGAACGUAGUUAAAUGAU